CACGUAGGGCGCAAGCGUUGUCCGGAAUUAUUGGGCGUAAAGAGCUCGUAGGCGGUCUGUUGCGUCCGCUGUGAAAACUCGGGGCUUAACCCCGAGCCUGCAGUGGAUACGGGCAGACUAGAGGUAGGUAGGGGAGAAUGGAAUUCCCGGUGUAGCGGUGAAAUGCGCAGAUAUCGGGAGGAACACCGGCGGCGAAGGCGGGUCUCUGGGCCUUACCUGACGCUGAGGAGCGAAAGCGUGGGGAGCGAACAGG
rnacentral:rRNA from 1 species